AACGCACAUUGCACUCCCUGGUAUUCCGAGGAGUAUGCCUGUUCGAGCGUCAUUAUCAACCAUCAAGCACUGCUUGGCAUUGGGCGCCGUCCCCCGCGGACGCGCCUUGAACACUUCGGCGGCGGUUUCAGACCUCAAGCGUAGUAGAACCUUAGCUUUCUAGGACUGGAGCCGUUGUGCCUCUAGAACCCAUCUUUUUUAAUGGUUGACCUCGGAUCAGGUAGGGAUACCCGCUGAACUUAA
rnacentral:misc_RNA from 1 species